rnacentral:rRNA from 1 species
GACGAACGCUGGCGGCGUGCUUAACACAUGCAAGUCGAACGGAAAGGCCCUGCUUGCAGGGUGCUCGAGUGGCGAACGGGUGAGUAACACGUGGGUGAUCUGCCCCUUACUUUGGGAUAAGCCUGGGAAACUGGGUCUAAUACUGGAUAGGACCAUGCUGUAGGUGGUGUGGUGGAAAGAUUAGUUUCGGUAAGGGAUGAGCUCGCGGCCUAUCAGCUUGUUGGUGGGGCAAUGGCCUACCAAGGCGUCGACGGGUAGCCGGCCUGAGAGGGUGGACGGCCACAUUGGGACUGAGAUACGGCCCAGACUCCUACGGGAGGCAGCAGUGGGGAAUAUUGCACAAUGGGCGCAAGCCUGAUGCAGCGACGCCGCGUGGGGGAUGACGGCCUUCGGGUUGUAAACUCCUUUCAGCCAUGACGAAGCCCUUGUGGUGACGGUAGUGGUAGAAGAAGCACCGGCUAACUACGUGCCAGCAGCCGCGGUAAUACGUAGGGUGCGAGCGUUGUCCGGAAUUACUGGGCGUAAAGAGCUCGUAGGUGGUCUGUCGCGUCAUUUGUGAAAGCCCGGGGCUUAACUCCGGGUUGGCAGGUGAUACGGGCAUGACUGGAGUACUGUAGGGGAGACUGGAAUUCCUGGUGUAGCGGUGAAAUGCGCAGAUAUCAGGAGGAACACCGGUGGCGAAGGCGGGUCUCUGGGCAGUAACUGACGCUGAGGAGCGAAAGCAUGGGUAGCGAACAGG